AAAAGUUGAGAAAAAUUAUUCGAAAUAUGAAUAGGUUCCCGAUCGCAAUAGACUAGUAAUUUUGUACAACCAGUUAUUUCGUACUUUUCUACUCGUACCGAAUAUCGUUGAAGGAUUUGAUACAAUAAUCUUAAAGGCACGCUUUAAGUCUGUAGUUACGAGUGUCGUAAUUUUACACUAACGGAAUGAAAACUAUGUAUUCUGUCUCGUGAUAUUUUGAUGUAACCGCCGUAGACCGUAGAGUAGGUUUGAAACACGGAUUUGUAUGUCGGAAUUGCUUAGCGGCCGAUGUCGUGGCCCCUUCGUGUAAAUAAUUGUUUUAUUCCAUAUUUAUUUUUAAAUUUUGUUUAAUUUUAUGAAUUAUUAGAAACGCAAUAUUCACUCUUUUAAUUUUAUAUGAAUUUGUAAUUAAUUAACAUUAUUUUUAAUCGGAUUCCUUAAUCUUUUCGACGCCGUGUCAAACACAAAAGCUGGCAUCGAAUUGUUAGCAGUGAUAUUUACGAUAGGUUAGCGUUGUGUCAGUGCGCGUUGCCAAAGAGUAUGACUUCGGACGACGGUCUGAACCACGAGGCGGUUUUCUGGUCAAGUAUGGUUAUCGGUUAUAAAUCGCUAGGUAUACAACGUAUUUUUACUACUAUUAUACGCUUUAGGGUAGGAUUCUGCGUCGGCGGAGGUGCGGCUAACUCGGCAUUGUGAUAUUAACUUGUAUACCGUUGAUUCGCCUGCGAAUUGUUGUUAAAUCGGUGCGCGCCUCCGCUCUGCAGGUUAUAUUUUAAUACAUCACAUAUCUAAUCUAAUCAUUAGCUACUCUUUUAUACCGUGCUGUUAGGUGGACCAUUGUAAACCGUUUUAAUAUUACUAAUCUUAUAACGUUCUCUUAAGUUCCGUGCUUUUGGCUUAGCUUGUAGUGAACUGACUACUUAUACUCGACCAUUACAUUGACGUAGCCUGUGACUUUCUGUUGCCAAAAAGCGCGAAAUGAAACGAAUUUGACUAAAUUUUGUCUUUCGAACUAUUAAGGUUUGUACUUUAAUUUUAACGCUGUUGCUAUGUUGUGUACAAUUUUAGAAGUUUAUUUUUUAUAUCUAGCUUUAUUACGUACGUAAAUGUAUUUUUAAAUGGUGAACCAUCUGAGCGACUUGUGAUAUUUACUGGGUCUCGACUGAAAAAUAUGCCAGUAUUUGUAAUGAAGUCGGUUUCUGCCUAUGAGUAGAGUAACUCUUGUGAUCGAGUCAUACUUUAAUGAACUAUUUGGAUCUACGGAAUAAUCUGUCGCCAUGUAAUGUCAGAUGCAUUUACGCCGGUACUCUGCGGGCCUACCGUGACAUAGACGUAUCUCUCAAAUCCAAUGUUUAAUGUUUUGCUUUGGUUGUGUUACUUAUAAUAUUAUUAUUGUAUUUGAGAUUUAUUUUGUAUAAUAAUGGUGUAAUAAAUUGAUAAAAUUGA